rnacentral:rRNA from 1 species
UACGUAGGGGGCUAGCGUUGUCCGGAAUCAUUGGGCGUAAAGCGCGUGUAGGCGGUCCGGUAAGUCCGCUGUGAAAGUCGGGGGCUCAACCCUCGAAUGCCGGUGGAUACUGUCGGGCUAGAGUGCGGAAGAGGCGAGUGGAAUUCCCGGUGUAGCGGUGAAAUGCGCAGAUAUCGGGAGGAACACCAAUUGCGAAGGCAGCUCGCUGGGACGUUACUGACGCUGAGACGCGAAAGCGUGGGGAGCAAACAGG